GGCAGUGUGGCCGAGUGGUCUAAGGCGUAUGACUCGAAUUCCACGAAAUCAUAUAUCUUCGGAUGCGUGUGUUCAAAUCACACCGCUGUCG